GGGUGAGAAGAGACCAACAAGAACAUAAGACCUGACAUGCUUGUGAAGAAUGACAGGCUCAAACUUCUGUCAUUAUGAAGAGGGUUGUUCAUUAUUCCAAAAACUGCUAAGAACAGGAUUGCUACCCAAGCAGAAGAGAAUCUGUUUUAAGUGGUGAGACAUUUGGGUUGAUUGUGGAAGAAAAAGGUGCCUCAUACUCUCCCUUCACUGGUAGAAAUGCUUCUUUUUAGAAUUCUGAGACCUGGUCCUUAUUCACAUUAUUCUCAAAAUAGAAUGUAGUGACAUUUAUAAAAGGAAGAAUGAAUUCUACUUUGUUUCUUCACACCUAAAUACUUCAAAAUUUAAACACUUCAUGAAAAAAGAUUAAAAGUGUAUCUAUUAACACUAAUAUACUUAAUUUAGUGGAUUCAAGUCUGUAGAAUGUUAAAACAAUAAGAUUAAGUGUUGAAAGAGACAUUCUAAAUAUUUAUCUAGCCCCAUCUACCUAUACCACUCUAAUUGGUGUUUCUCUGAGAUACAAAGAAAGCACAAUUCAAUUUGAUUCAACAAAUAUUUAUUAAAUUACUAUUAUAGCCAAGACACUGUGCUAAGUACUGCAUGGAAUACAAAUAUUGGAAAUGUGAAGUCUAGCAAAGGCUUAAGUUCAGUUCUGUUUAUCUCAGACAAGAUUUAUUGAGCACCUAGGUACUAUGCUAAGUAUUGAAAAAUAGAACACAUUUUCUGUAGGCAAAGAAAUUUACAGUCUGAUAAGUGGGGGUUGAUAUAUCUUUAAAAUCACAUGUAAAAUUGUGUGUGUUGGUGGCAUGUGUGUGUGUGCACAUUUUUUUUCUCAGAAGAGAGAUACUAUCUU
rnacentral:lncRNA from 1 species